UUUACUAUAUAAUGCCAACAAUGGAUGCCUUGGAGAUUUUGGCCGAGGAAGGACGCAGACGGCGGCGAUACUCGUCGGGGAAGUGCCAUCAACUUUUGAUCCGGCGGUUUCCGAAUGGGGGAACCUAGCCCGCUUAGCGGGUUGGCCACCUAUGAAAUUAAUCAGCAAUGGUUAUAUUAGUAUGUGGCUGGGCACGGCGUGAACUGAAACAUCUUAGUAACGCCAGGAGUAUAAAUCAUAUGAGAUUCCGUCAGUAGCGGUGAGCGAAAGCGGAAAAGGCUAAACCUACUUUUUAGUAGGGGUUGCAGGGCAGACGAUAUUCGAUGUGUUUUUUCUAGCAGAAAGAUCCGGAAUGGUCUUCCAAAGAGAGUGAAAGACUCGUACGCGAAAGGAAAAACACCGAUAGACUGUUCCUAAGUACCAUGGAGCACGAUAAACUCUGUGGGAAUCUGGGUCGACCACGAUCCAAGCCUAAAUACCAAAAUCUACCGAUAGUGAACUAGUACCGUGAGGGAAAGGUGAAAAGCACCCCGGAAGGGGGAUGAAAGAGAACUGAAAUUGUUGGCUAACAAGCAGACAGAGUACAUUCGGGCCGCAAGGCCCUCAGUAUGAUGUCGUGCCUAUUGAAGAAUGAGCCGGUGAGUUUUUGAUUGCUGCAUAGUUUAACCAAUUUUCAUUGGGGAGACGAAGUGAAAGCGAGCCCUAACUGGGCUAUGAUUCCUUUGGAAUCAAGUAGCAAUCAUUAAACCCGAAACCGGGUGAGCUAACCUUGGGCAGGGUGAGUCCUUCAGAGAUGGAGGAGGAGGCCCGAACUCGUGUCCGUAGCAAUGGGCUGAGAUGACCUGAGGUUAGGGGCAAUAUGCCAAACGAACCCGGAGAUAGCUGGUUCUCCCCGAAAUAUAUUAAGGUAUAGCGCUAUGUAUAACCCGAGGGGUAGAGCACUGAAUGGUUCAUGGCUGCGCAAGCGGUUAUAACCAAUCAAACUCCGAAUACUCGGUCUUUAGCAUAGUAGUCAGACUUGUCGGGCUAAGCUGAUGAGUCAAAAGGGAAACAGCCCAGACUCCCAAUUAAGGCCUCUAAAUAAGAGCUAAGUUUUUAAGGAAGUCACGAUCCAGAGACACCCAGGAAGUUGGCUUAGAAGCAGCCAUCUUUUAAAGAUAGCGUAACAGCUCACUGGCGGAUGGUUUGUGGCGCCGAAAAUUUACCGAGGAUUAAGCUCUUUGCCGAAAUUGGAGAUUCCAUAACAAUUUAUUGUUAUGGUCUGGUAGGGGAGCGUUCUAUUUGCUGUGAAGUUGUGGUGUAAACCAUGGUGGAGCGGAUAGAAGUGAGAAUGCCGGCAUGAGUAGCGCAAUGCAGAUGAGAUAUCUGCACACCGAAAGCCCAAGGUUUCCUCCGCAAUGUACAUCAACGGAGGGUAAGUCGGCCCUAAGGGUAUUCCUCGUUAAAGGGGAUUAGCCCGAUGGACAAGUCGUUAAGAUUCGACUACAGGGUAUGCGUAUUGUAAGGUGGUGACGAAGGUGGAAGAUUUAAGCCCAGCACGCUGGGUCUAAGCAGUAAAAUAGUGGUGAUUGGCAAAUCCGUUACCGUGUUUAAUUGAGCUGCGAUGGAAAGUUCCCUGGCAACAGGGGAUGAUUUAAACCCUUUCAGUUUCCAGGAAAAGCCUCAUUAUGGUCGUCGCAAGACGUGCCAAAACGCAUAUUUUUCCGUACCGCAAACCGACACAGGUGGGCUGGUCGAGUAGACUAAGGUGACCGGGAGACAGAUGAUUAAGGAACUCGGCAUAAAAGCUAGGCGUAACCUAUGGGAGAUGCCUUGCCCAAUCCCGCAAGGGUGAGGGCUGCAACAAAAGUUUAUUUGGCGACUGUUUAUCUAAAACACAGGUCCCUGCAAAGCCGAAAGGCAACGUAUAGGGGCUGACACCUGCCCAGUGCCGGUAAGUCAAUGAUGGUGAAUGAUUCUCGUAAGGGAUGAGUUUGUUAUCAAAGCUCCGGUGAACGGCAGCAGUAACUAUAACUGUUCUAUGGUAGCGAAGUUCCUUGUCGGGCAAGUUCCGACCCGCACGAAAGGUAGAACGACCAAAUAACUGUCUUAAUCAUUUACCCGGCGAAAUUGAGAUGGCUGUGAAGACGCGGCCUAGGUAUACAUGGACAAAAAGACCCCGGGAGCUUUACUGUAGCUUGACAUUUGCAAGCUUUUUUCAAUUGUUUAGAAUAGGAGGGAGAUUCGUCAUCAGUGAAAUACCUCUCUUUGAAAUGAGUGAGCAUCACUUCGACCCGCACAAAAAUACGGGCGAAGGACAGUGUCUGGUGGGCAGUUUUACUGGGGAGGUAGGCUCCUACAACGCAACGGAGCCGCACAAUGGUUGGCUAAUCAUGGAUGGAAAUCAUGAUGAUAGCGUAACGGCAAAAGCCAGCUUGACUGCGAGACUUACAAGUCGAGCAGGUGCGAAAGCAGGUCGUAGUGAUCCUGUGAUGGAUAGUGGUAUCCACACAGCUUAACGGCUAAAAGCUACCCCGGGGAUAACAGGCUGAUCGCAUCCAAGCGUCAAAUAUAUCCUUCGAUACACUCGGAAUAAUUCUGAGAAGUAUCGGUGGAUGGGCGCCUCUCGAUGGUAACAUCGAGAUGAACGAAGCAACUAAUAUCGGUGGAUCCCUGUCUAUUAAUAUGAUAGGAUAAUACCGAGGGAAGAUAAUUUGUUGUGGAUACAUUAUUAGCUAGAGAAGCAAGAAAAAUAAGUUUUUCCGAAAGGCAACGUAAGUUGCUGAUAGGUUCACUUUUAGGAGAUGGAUAUCUUGAUAAAACUACAAGAGGAUAUUCUUUGCGUAUUCAUCAUGGCAUUGCCCAG
rnacentral:rRNA from 1 species